GGCUGCUUGAACCUAUUUCUCAGACAACAGGAGUCAUACAUAUGUAUUGUUUGGUAUUUUGGGGGGAUUUUUGAUGGCAUUUAUUCACAAUUAUCCUUUUUUCAUAGAAAUGUAUAGUAACCUAUUAAACUCAGAUUAAAUGUUAGUACUUUAAGAAGAAUCAGGCUUACCCAUAUAUCUAGCAAAUGUAUACAGAAUUUUAAGUACGUGUUUGAAGAUGUGUUCUACAUUUGUACUUCUGGCAGUGGGCGAGUAGGAAUAUCUAAACCCUGAGUUUUAAUUGCUAGAAAUCAGACUUUUGUAUCAAACAAGGAUGCACC